CCUCAACAGCUGGUUAACCCCAGCAGGACUGGUGAGCUGAGGCGGGCACUGGGAGUACCAGGGUCUGGCUGCCCAACAGAACCAGCUGGGUCCUGCCUGUAACUGCUGACAGGGCCCAUCUCCUGGAGCAGAAUUCUCUGACCCAGCAGCACCACUGCCCCUGCAUCCUGCUGUCCUGGGCAGAAGCAGCACAGCCAGACUUCUCAGCCUUGGGCUUAAGCAGCAAGGGCUGUUUUGUUGCCACAGAGAACCAACUUUGCCUGUGACUACAGCCAUGGAGGAAAUGAGCAUUUAAGGAUGAGAAUGUUGUGUCUGACGCGUGUCAGCGAGCAGAGGAGAUUCACGAGCAGAGCUGGGCUCGUCUUGCUCCCCGCUUAAAUACAGCUGCCAUUUAAGCCUUUGCUGUUAUUUCAUCACACACCCAGAAGAGCACCUGCAGAGACACAUCCUUGGUGGCAGAUGUGGGGCUGACCUGUUUCCACCUCUGGCUCUGGUGACUGGUAACAUUUCUGUGUGUGCAGUUCUGAAACACCAUCCACAGCUCUUCUGUAAAAUGAGUCUGUUAGCAAAUUUACCUGAAAACAACAAUAAAGGCCAGAUGACUUCA